rnacentral:rRNA from 1 species
AAGCGACCAAGCGUACACGGUGGAUGCCCUGGCAGUCAGAGGCGAUGAAGGACGUGCUAAUCUGCGAAAAGCGCCGGCGAGGUGAUAUGAACCCUUGACCCGGCGAUGUCCGAAUGGGGAAACCCAGUGUGACUCGUCACACUAUCAUUAACUGAAUCCAUAGGUUAAUGAGGCGAACCGGGGGAACUGAAACAUCUAAGUACCCCGAGGAAAAGAAAUCAACCGAGAUUCCCCCAGUAGCGGCGAGCGAACGGGGAGGAGCCCAGAGCCUGAAUCAGCAGGUGUGUUAGUGGAAGUGUCUGGAAAGGCACGCGAUACAGGGUGAGAGCCCCGUACACGAAAAUGCACCUGCUGUGAGCUCGAUGAGUAGGGCGGGACACGUGGUAUCCUGUCUGAAUAUGGGGGGACCAUCCUCCAAGGCUAAAUACUCCUGACUGACCGAUAGUGAACCAGUACCGUGAGGGAAAGGCGAAAAGAACCCCGGCGAGGGGAGUGAAAAAGAACCUGAAACCGUGUACGUACAAGCAGUGGGAGCACCCUUUGGGGUGUGACUGCGUACCUUUUGUAUAAUGGGUCAGCGACUUAUAUUCUGUAGCAAGGUUAACCGAAUAGGGGAGCCGGAGGGAAACCGAGUCUUAAUUGGGCGUUAAGUUGCAGGGUAUAGACCCGAAACCCGGUGAUCUAGCCAUGGGCAGGUUGAAGGUUGGGUAACACUAACUGGAGGACCGAACCGACUAAUGUUGAAAAAUUAGCGGAUGACCUGUGGCUGGGGGUGAAAGGCCAAUCAAACCGGGAGAUAGCUGGUUCUCCCCGAAAGCUAUUUAGGUAGCGCCUCGUGAAUUCAUCUCCGGGGGUAGAGCACUGUUUCGGCUAGGGGGCCAUCCCGGCUUACCAACCCGAUGCAAACUGCGAAUACCGG